UGUGUGUGGAUGUGUAUGGGUUUAUCUACCCUAGAGCAGUGGUCCCCAAACUUUUUCGUCUGGCAGGCGUCAGAUGAAGGACCGUGAUGGCGGACGAGCAUAUGCCGAAAUGCUGCCAAAAUUCGGCGGCAUUUCAA